UUUUUGAUAGAUUUACCCAAAAUAACUGGUCUGAAAAGAGGGAAAGUACGCACUUGAGAUGUCGCAAUAUUUCAAAAUGUGAAGUCACUGGAUAU